UUUGUACUCCCUCCGUCCCAAAAUUCUUGUCUUAAAUUUUUCUAAAUAUGGAUGUAUCUAGUUACAUUUUAGUGUUAGAUACAUCCGUAUCUAAACAAAUGUAAGACAAUAAUUUUGGGACGGAGGGAAUACUAC
rnacentral:pre_miRNA from 1 species